UAUGCUGGCCUGCCCACUCCAAGUUGAGAGUUGGGCCAUGGGAUUUGGGCGAAGGCUCAGAUCUCCUGGUCACUAGAAUGGAGGGAUCCGCAUGAGGCUGGUUUUACAGAGCAGUGAACACUCCCUUCUCUUGACAGUGGAGGGAUCACAGGCUGCAGUAUUCUUGGCUUAUAUGGCCUGGUGAGCCUAGCACACUGAACCAUCA
rnacentral:SRP_RNA from 1 species